GAUGAACGCUGGCGGCGUGCUUAACACAUGCAAGUCGAACGAAGAUGCCGGAGUGCUUGCACUUUGGCAGACUGAGUGGCGGACGGGUGAGUAACGCGUGGGUAACCUGCCUUAUACAGGGGGAUAACAGUUGGAAACGACUGCUAAUACCGCAUAAGCGCACGGUAUCGCAUGAUACAGUGUGAAAAACUCCGGUGGUAUAAGAUGGACCCGCGUCUGAUUAGCUUGUUGGUGAGGUAACGGCCCACCAAGGCGACGAUCAGUAGCCGGCCUGAGAGGGUGAACGGCCACAUUGGGACUGAGACACGGCCCAAAACUCCUAACGGGAGGCAGCAGUGGGGAAUAUUGCACAAUGGGGGAAACCCUGAUGCAGCGACGCCGCGUGAGCGAAGAAGUAUUUCGGUAUGUAAAGCUCUAUCAGCAGGGAAGAAGAAAUGACGGUACCUGACUAAGAAGCAACCGGCUAAAAUACGUAGCCAGCAGCCG
rnacentral:rRNA from 1 species